GACGUAGGAGGCGAGCGUUGUCCGGAUUCAUUGGGCGUAAGGAGCGCGCAGGCGGCUUGGUAAGUCGGAUGUGAAAACCCGAGGCUCAACCUCGGGCGUGCAUCCGAAACUGCUCGGCUAGAGGUAGGUAGGGGAGAUCGGAAUUCCUGGUGUAGCGGUGAAAUGCGCAGAUAUCAGGAGGAACACCGGUGGCGAAGGCGGAUCUCUGGGCCUUACCUGACGCUCAGGCGCGAAAGCGUGGGGAGCGAACAGG
rnacentral:rRNA from 1 species